UUUUUGAAAUGUUGAAAAAAUAUGCCUAAAUUUUUUUACCAUGUAAAAGUAACCGGGGUGGAUGUACUUGCGUUUGCUGAAUGCCAUACGCUAAAUUUUUUUACCAUGUAAAAUUGGUGAAACAAUACUGUAAAUUUUUUUACCAUGUAAAAUUUGCUGGUGUGGACUUGGAGAAAUUUUAUACUGUAAAUUUUUUUACCUUGUASAUUUUGCUCUACAGGGUUGACUUUUUUUUUUAAUGAACUUCAGGGCUAGUUUCUAGUGUGUUAGCCAAGGACCAUAUUUUUGUGUUACACUUUCAGC
rnacentral:misc_RNA from 1 species